rnacentral:rRNA from 1 species
UACGUAGGUGGCAAGCGUUGUCCGGAUUUACUGGGUGUAAAGGGCGUGCAGCCGGGCUGACAAGUCAGAUGUGAAAUCCCGCGGCUCAACCGCGGAACUGCAUUUGAAACUGUCAGUCUUGAGUACCGGAGAGGUCAUCGGAAUUCCUGGUGUAGCGGUGAAAUGCGUAGAUAUCAGGAGGAACACCGGUGGCGAAGGCGGCCUGCUGGACUGCAACUGACGUUGAGGCCCGAAAGCGUGGGGAGCAAACAGG